GAAAGGCUGCGUAAAAUUAUAAAAGGAAGGCAGAACUUUCCUUUCAGCGGCUGGACGCAUAGAACCCCGUCAAUUUUAUGUGUCUCAAUUAGG
rfam:Blautia sp. An46 An46_contig_9, whole genome shotgun sequence.